rnacentral:rRNA from 1 species
GCAAGUCGAGCGCGAAAGCACUUCGGUGCGAGUAGAGCGGCGGACGGGUGAGUAACGCGUAGGAAUCUACCCAGUAGUGGGGGACAACAGUCGGAAACGGCUGCUAAUACCGCAUACGCCCUAUGGGGGAAAGCGGGGGAUCUUCGGACCUCGCGCUAUUGGAUGAGCCUGCGUUGGAUUAGCUAGUUGGUGGGGUAAAGGCCCACCAAGGCGUCGAUCCAUAGCUGGUCUGAGAGGAUGAUC